UUUUCUUCCAAACUCAUUGUUUUAGCACGCACGCUGGCUUCCAUCAGUAAUGAUGAUAUAUAUACAUUGAGUCAUUGGUUUGUAGGGGGAAAGAGUGGGUGAAUAUAAUUAUCUCGGUCUAACUUAUACUGUUUAUUAUACCGCUAUUCGCAGCAAUAUCUUUCUCUGCUCCGAUGGCAACGCUGCCUCGUUCAAAAAUCAUAACACCGCCGCGGCCGCCACGUUUACCAGCCGGAGCCUCAAAUCAUGUCCCUUUGUGGUGAUAAAGAGGACACAGCCUGGUGUGAAGCUACAUUUAUUACGGAAGGAUGCCACCCGGGAUCCGAACACGUCCGAUAUCAUCCAAGAGAAUGUGGCAGCUGAAGGGGGAGAGGCCAAGAAAGAGGCCAAGGGUGAAGACAUUUAGCCACCCCCCCUGAAGUACAUGGCAUCAUUCAACCCUCUUGGUGAGCUGCAGGAAUGUGCUUCCCAUUGCAGUGCACCAGCUCCAUGUACUGAUUUUGGUGUGAACUUGAUGGGGUUGGAGGAAACUCGACUCGGCCAUCAAGCUCACCACAAUAUAACAUGAAAAGUGAAAAUUGCUGCACACAACAGUCUGUCGUCUGCACCGGGAGGCAAGGCAGCUCAAAGCCCAGGCUGUUACAAAUCCUGGGCAGUUUUUGCCCAGAGCCAGCAAUUUUUUAGAUCCAAUAGGGAUGGAUUUUUUCUGAGGUCAGGUUCAACAUGCUGCAAGAUGCCAAGAUCUAAGCCUAGUAGGAGAUAUGGGUUA